AGGGUUUGAUCCUGGCUCAGGAUGAACGCUGGCGGCGUGCCUAACACAUGCAAGUCGAACGGGGUUAUUUUGGAAAAUCCUUCGGGAUUGGAAUUCUUAACCUAGUGGCGGACGGGUGAGUAACGCGUGAGCAAUCUGCCUUUAAGAGGGGGAUAACAGUCGGAAACGGCUGCUAAUACCGCAUAAAGCAUUGAAUUCGCAUGUUUUCGAUGCCAAAGGAGCAAUCCGCUUUUAGAUGAGCUCGCGUCUGAUUAGCUAGUUGGCGGGGUAACGGCCCACCAAGGCGACGAUCAGUAGCCGGACUGAGAGGUUGAACGGCCACAUUGGGACUGAGACACGGCCCAG
rnacentral:rRNA from 1 species